UACAGAGGGUGCAAGCGUUAAUCGAAAUUAUUGGGCGUAAAGAGCACGUAGGCGGUGCUGUUAGUCAGUUGUGAAAGGCCAGGGCUUAACCUUGGCAUUGCAAUUGAAACGGCAGCACUAGAGACUAGUAGAGGUGAGUGGAAUUUCCGGAGUAGCGGUGAAAUGCGUAGAUAUCGGAAGGAACACCAGUGGCGAAGGCGACUCACUGGACUAGUUCUGACGCUGAGUUGCGAAAGCGUGGGGAGCAAACAGG
rnacentral:misc_RNA from 1 species